rnacentral:rRNA from 1 species
UGGGGAAUCUUGGACAAUGGGCGCAAGCCUGAUCCAGCCAUGCCGCGUGAGUGAUGAAGGCCUUAGGGUUGUAAAACUCUUUCGUCGGGGACGCGGUACCCGAAGAAGAAGCCCCGGCUAACUUCGUGCCAGCAGCCGCGGUAAUACGAAGGGGGCUAGCGUUGUUCGGAUUUACUGGGCGUAAAGCGCGUGUAGGCGGGUCGUUAAGUUGGGGUGAAAUCCCGGAGCUCAACUCCGGAACUGCCUUCAAAACUGGCGACCUGGACUCAAGUAGAGGCAAGUGGAAUUGCGAGUGUAGAGGUGAAAUUCGUAGAUAUUCGCAGGAACACCAGUGGCGAAGGCGACUUGCUGGACUUGUAGUGACGCUGAGACGCGAAAGCGUGGGGAGCAAACAGGAUUAGAUACCCCAGUAGU